rfam:Paraburkholderia caribensis strain Bcrs1W chromosome 1, complete sequence.
AUCCCUUCGCUAAGGAGUGUCCUAUGCGAAAAAUCACGGCCGCUUUGAUAGCGAGCCUGAUAGGGCUGACAGCGGUGUCCGUGUCGACCACGGCGUUCGCAUGCGGUGAUCAGGUCCAGAGCAGAAGCGAUGGUAAAUGAUCCCGCCGCCCGAAGGCGCAGAGUGCGCAUGAAAAAAGGCCUUCAUCCGACGAUGAAGGCCUUUUACU